rnacentral:rRNA from 1 species
AGCGAACGCUGGCGGCAGGCCUAAAACAUGCAAGUCGAACGGAUCCUUCGGGAUUAGUGGCGGACGGGUGAGUAACACGUGGGAACGUGCCUUUUGGUUCGGAACAACUCAGGGAAACUUGAGCUAAUACCGAAUGUGCCCUUCGGGGGAAAGAUUUAUCGCCAUUAGAGCGGCCCGCGUCUGAUUAGCUUGUUGGUGAGGUAAAGGCUCACCAAGGCGACGAUCAGUAGCUGGUCUGAGAGGAUGAUCAGCCACACUGGGACUGAGACACGGCCCAGACUCCUACGGGAGGCAGCAGUUGGGAAUCUUGCGCAAUGGGGGAAACCCUGACGCAGCCAUGCCGCGUGAAUGAUGAAGGUCUUAGGAUUGUGAAAUUCUUUCAGCGGGGACGAUAAUGACGGUACCCGCAGAAGAAGCCCCGGCUAACUUCGUGCCAGCAGCCGCG